rnacentral:rRNA from 1 species
AAGUCGUAACAAGGUUUCCGUAGGUGAACCUGCGGAAGGAUCAUUGUCGAAACCUGCAUAGCAGAACGACCCGUGAACUUGUAACAACAAUCCGGUGUCCUUGGUAUUGGGCUUUUGUCUGAUUCUUAGGAUGCCAUGUUGAUGUGCUUUUUUGGUAAGCCCUUUGGGUCCCGAGGAUGUCACAUUGGCAACACAACAACCCCCGGCACGGAAUGUGCCAAGGAAAAAUAAACCUAAGAAGGGCUUGUAUGUUGCGUAACCGUUCGCGGUGAUUGCAAGGUAUGUGGCUUCUUUAUAAUCACAAACGACUCUCGGCAACGGAUAUCUCGGCUCACGCAUCGAUGAAGAACGUAGCAAAAUGCGAUACUUGGUGUGAAUUGCAGAAUCCCGUGAACCAUCGAGUUUUUGAACGCAAGUUGCGCCCGAAGCCUUUUGGUCGAGGGCACGUCUGCCUGGGCGUCACACAUCGCGUCGCCCCCCUCAACACCUCUUGACGGGGAUGUUGUAAUGGGGGCGGAGAUUGGUCUCCCGUUCCUAAGGUGCGGUUGGCUAAAAAAUAAGAGUCCCCUACGAUGGACGCACGAUUAGUGGUGGUUGAUAAAGACCCUCUUAUCGAGUCGUGUGUUCCAAGGAGUAAGGAAGUUCUCCUUAGUGAUCCUAUUGUGUCGUCUUGUACGAUGCUUUGACCGCGACCCCGGGUCAGGCGGGACUACCCGCUGAGUUUAA